GAAAGAGAGAGAGUGGGAGAGAAAGAGAGAGAGAGAAGAAGAGAGAGCGAGGUAGCCUGUGUUUUAAUUACUCACAGCUGAACAACCCCCCCACCCUUCCUCUCCUCUCCUCCUCUACAGCCUAUAAUCCACUGCUGGGUUACAGACACAGUUUCCUACAGCGUCUUCCUGGGUGGCCCACUGCUCACUAACCCAGCCAGUCAGCCAGUCAGUCAGCCUGCCAAUCUGCCAGUCAGUCACCCAGUCAGUCAGCCAAUCAGUCACUCAGCCUGCCAAUCUGCCACUAACCCAGUCAGCCAGCCAGUCAGUCACCCAGUCAGUCAGCCAGUCACUCAGCCUGCCAAUCUGCCACUAACCCAGUCAGCCAGCCAGUCAGUCACCCAUUCAGCCAGUCACUCAGCCUGCCAAUCUGCCAGCAAUCCAGCCAGUCAGCCAGCCAGUCAGUCACCCAGUCAGCCAGCCAGUCUGCCAGCCAGCCAGCCAGUCUGCCAGCCAGCCAGCCAGCCAGCCAGCCAAGCAAUCUGCCAGUCACCCAGCCAGCCAGCCAGUCUGCCAGCCAGCCAGCCAGUCACUCAGCUAACCAGUCACCCAGCCAAUCAGCCAGCCAGUCAGUUUGCCAGACACACAGCAAGCCAGUCUGCCAGCCAGUCACCCAGCCAAUCUGCCAGCCAGUCAGCCAGCCAGUCAGUUUGCCAGUCAGCCAGCCAGUCAGCCAGUCUGCCAACUUUAAAUUGUAUUUCCAGGCACUAGCAUUUCAUCCCAUCCUGUGUUACAAACGUAGUUUCCUGCACUGUCUUCCCACUGCAGUCAAUCAGUCACUCAGCCAGUCAUCCAGUCAGCCAGUCACUCAGCCAGCCAGUCAGCCAGCCAUACAGCCAGUCACUCAGCCAGCCAGUCAUCCAGUCACUCAGCCAGCCAGUCACCCAGCCAGUCACCCAUCCAGUCAGCCAGUCACCCAGCCAGCCAGCCAGUCACCCAGUCAGUCAUUCAGUCACCCAGCCAGCCAGCCAGCCAGUCACCCAGUCAGCCAGUCACCUAGCCAGUCAGCCAGUCACCCAGACAGUCAACCAAUCACACAUCCAGCCAGUCAGUCUGCCAGUCUGCCAGUCACCCAGCCAGUCAGUCAGCCAGUCAGUCAGCCAGUCAACCAGCCAGGAAGCCAGAAAGUCACCCAGCCAGGAAGCCAGAGAGUCACCCAGGCAGUCACCGAUCCAGCCAGUCUGCCAGUCUGCCAGUCUGCCAGUCACCCAAUCAGCCAGUCAGCCAGUCAACCAGCCAGGAAGCCAGAGAGUCAACAAGGCAGUCACCCAGUCACCCAACCAGUCAGCCAGUCAACCAGCCAGUCAGUCACUCAGUCAGCCAGUCACCUAGCCAGUCAGCCAGUCACCCAGAGGGUCAACCAAUCAUACAUCCAGCCAGUCAGUCUGCCAGUCUGCCAGUCACCCAGUCAGCCAGUCAGCCAGUCAACCAGCCAGGAAGCCAGAGAGUCACCCAGUCAGCCAGUCAGCCCGUCAGCCAACCAGUCAGCCAGUCAGCCAGUCAACCAGCCAGGAAGCCAGAGAUUCACCCAGUCAGCCAGUCAACCAGCCAGGAAGCCAGAGAGUCACCCAGGCAGUCACCCAGUCAGCCAACCAGUCAGCCAGUCAACCAGCCGAUAAAGAGCAGCAUUAAGAUGGAUAGUACCCAGCUGUUUUCCUUGACCACCAACUUCAAACACAGAGCAGCUUUUUCCCUCCAAAUAAAAGGUCGGUCAAGCAGAUCUCCCCCCCGGUCUGUCGGCAGGAACCCUUUAAGUAUUUGGUCAAAUGUUUACACUUGAUUUAAUGGGGGACUCUUAAUCAAAAUACCUCAACCCCCCUUACCCCCAGACAUGCCACAAGUCAAAUGUGUGUGGGUGGCACAUGCUAUUCUGUUGGCAAGGCGAUGUGUUUGAUGUUUGUAGAAACAAGCUUUUUGGGAUUUCUGUACUUUUUUUCUGCUGUCAGCUUUGGUCACUGUGAAUAAAAGCGGCGGUUAUACCUGACCUCUCCGGUGACCGAGGGUUAGAGAGAGGAGAGGUUGAGACUGAGGGUUAGAGAGGAGAGGUUGAGACUGAGGGUUAUAGAGAGGAGAGAGGUUGAGACUGAGGGUUAUAGAGAGGAGAGAGGUUGAGACUGAGGGUUAUAGAGAGGAGAGAGGUUGAGACUGAGGGUUAGAGAGGGGAGAGAGGUUGAGACUGAGGGUUAUAGAGACUGAGGGAGAGAGGUUGAGACUGAGGGUUAUAGAGAGGAGAGAGGUUGAGACUGAGGGUUAGAGAGGGGAGAGAGGUUGAGACUGAGGGUUAUAGAGAGGAGAGAGGUUGAGACUGAGGGUUAUAGAGAGGAGAGAGGUUGAGACUGAGGGUUAGAGAGGAGAGAGGUUGAGACUGAGGGUUAGAGAGGAGAGAGGUUGAGACUGAGGGUUAGAAAGAGGAGAGAGGUUGAGACUGAGGGUUAUAGAGAGGAGAGAGGUUGAGACUGAGGGUUAGAGAGAGGAGAGAGGUUGAGACUGAGGGUUAGAGAGAGGAGAGAGGUUGAGACUGAGGGUUAGAAAGAGGAGAGAGGU
ensembl:lncRNA